UACGAAGGGGGCUAGCGUUGCUCGGAAUCACUGGGCGUAAAGGGUGCGUAGGCGGGUCUUUAAGUCCGGGGUGAAAUCCUGGAGCUCAACUCCAGAACUGCCUUUGAUACUGAGGAUCUUGAGUUCGGGAGAGGUGAGUGGAACUGCGAGUGUAGAGGUGAAAUUCGUAGAUAUUCGCAAGAACACCAGUGGCGAAGGCGGCUCACUGGCCCGAUACUGACGCUGAGGCACGAAAGCCAGGGGAGCAAACGGG
rnacentral:rRNA from 1 species